CAAUCGGCCCCCUUCGGGGCCACCAAUGAUCGUAACAUAGGAACA
rfam:Dufourea novaeangliae contig2138, whole genome shotgun sequence.